rnacentral:rRNA from 2 species
AUACAUGCAAGUCGAACGAACUCUGGUAUUGAUUGGUGCUUGCAUCAUGAUUUACAUUUGAGUGAGUGGCGAACUGGUGAGUAACACGUGGGAAACCUGCCCAGAAGCGGGGGAUAACACCUGGAAACAGAUGCUAAUACCGCAUAACAACUUGGACCGCAUGGUCCGAGUUUGAAAGAUGGCUUCGGCUAUCACUUUUGGAUGGUCCCGCGGCGUAUUAGCUAGAUGGUGAGGUAACGGCUCACCAUGGCAAUGAUACGUAGCCGACCUGAGAGGGUAAUCGGCCACAUUGGGACUGAGACACGGCCCAAACUCCUACGGGAGGCAGCAGUAGGGAAUCUUCCACAAUGGACGAAAGUCUGAUGGAGCAACGCCGCGUGAGUGAAGAAGGGUUUCGGCUCGUAAAACUCUGUUGUUAAAGAAGAACAUAUCUGAGAGUAACUGUUCAGGUAUUGACGGUAUUUAACCAGAAAGCCACGGCUAACUACGUGCCAGCAGCCGCGGUAAUACGUAGGUGGCAAGCGUUGUCCGGAUUUAUUGGGCGUAAAGCGAGCGCAGGCGGUUUUUUAAGUCUGAUGUGAAAGCCUUCGGCUCAACCGAAGAAGUGCAUCGGAAACUGGGAAACUUGAGUGCAGAAGAGGACAGUGGAACUCCAUGUGUAGCGGUGAAAUGCGUAGAUAUAUGGAAGAACACCAGUGGCGAAGGCGGCUGUCUGGUCUGUAACUGACGCUGAGGCUCGAAAGUAUGGGUAGCAAACAGGAUUAGAUACCCUGGUAGUCCAUACCGUAAACGAUGAAUGCUAAGUGUUGGAGGGUUUCCGCCCUUCAGUGCUGCAGCUAACGCAUUAAGCAUUCCGCCUGGGGGAGUACGGCCGCAAGGCUGAAACUCAAAGGAAUUGACGGGGG